AAACAUCUCAAGUGCUUUUUCCACAUCCCCACAUUUAGAAUACAUGUCAAUCAAUGCUGUAGUGAGGUGACAAUUAAACUUUAUUCCUUGCUUCUUUAUGUACACAUGAAUCCACCCACCUAAAUCAAUUGCACCCAACUGAGCACACGCAGAUAGCGCGCAGACAAGUGUUACCUCAUCAGGUUCUGCCUUCUUGAUGAGCUGCAACUCAUUGAAAACAGACAAAGCUUCCUUCGGUUUACCACUCUGCUCAUAAGCUGAGAUAAGAGCAUUCCAUGCAACAAUAUCUUGGCUAGGCAUAGUAUUCAGAAUACUUCUUGCUGCAUUAAA
rnacentral:misc_RNA from 1 species